AUACUCACCUGGCAGGGGAGAUGCCAUAAUCAUGAAGGGAAUUUUCCCAAGAUGAGGCUUCUCCAUUGGACUCCUGAUGUGCUGACCCUUGUAAUUUCCCCAAAUGUGGGAAACUCGACUGUACAAUUUGUGGUAGCAGGUGACUGCGUUUCACCCUCUCUCUAG